AGUGCUUAGGUGCUUGUUUGUAGGGCGUUCUGCCCCUGACCUUGCUGAGACCCGCUCUACCCGGUCACCGUGACAUGUUCCCGUCGGCCUGGCUGCCUCCAGCGGCAGUGACCUGUCCACGGCGGUACCAGUGCGAAGCAACCUUUCAAGUCUUUAUAAGGAAGCCCUGGCGCUUGGGAGCUCACAUGCACAAACCAGCGAUGAAAUUUCGGGGUCUGUUGCUGACGCGCAACGUGGAAGAUGGAGCGCGCCGACCUGCCGUGACAAGAGUUUCUAGACGUGCUAGGACCCCAACGUGGCGGCCACAAUGACGUCAGUGCAAACCAGCCAAGGAAUCUCCGAGGAGGGACAACUGAGAUGUCCCGCGUUGGCGCUCUGAAUCUGCUGGACAUUUCCACGAAGAAACGACGUGUGCUGAUUGAAGUUUACGGCACGUAAAAAAAAAAAGGGACGAGGAGAGCGUCGAACUGUUUGACUGCUGCAGGGAUGUGACUGCAGCGGAGAACUCCAACGCAAGGAACGCCAGUGCAGAGCAGCGUUCUGAAAGACAACAAAUGGCCACGUGGUUUUUCCAAGCGGCCGGCUGCGGCGGUGCAGCGGCUAUGACCCUGUGCUGCAGAGCACGAGGUCCCGGGGUCGAUUCCUGCCUACAACGGCCUCCUUGCGAUGGGGGCCGAGCGCAAGAAACGCUCUUGCGGCUUGCCGCGGAAUUGAUUUUGGUCAUCCCCGUCUUUUUCACUGCACGCAGAUUGCGCUGUUGCCCAACGGCUUCGCCACCAGAGCGGCCACGCAUGUGCGCGCGCUUGAACGCAACUGCGCCGCCGAUUGUGGCUGACGGAACGGCGAGCGAAGAACCAGCGCGAGCACGGGUCGUCAUCGACGCACCUCGGCGACGCAGCUACCUCGUCACGGAUGCGCUCGCGCCAUUCGAAGCAAGCGCUCACCAGCAUAUAAGACCGGGUCAAACCGCACGGCGCUCCUGUGGGCUUGGUGGCACCGACCGGAGGCCGAUGCAUGUCCCCGUCUUUUUUCAUUGUGCAGGGCGGAAUUGUACUCUCGUCAUGCAGGUUCAUCAAGCAUACCAGCCUGAUGCUAUAGCAAGCUUUUCCACGGAAUGCACGCCACCUCUUCAGCGAGCUGCGCCAAGAAUGUACCAGCUGGCACGUCAUAUCCUUCAGCUACCUGUCCCACCACAUGUGUAUAUCGGCCUGUGACAAGGAAAAGGAGAGCACCUGGAAUUUAUUUCACCUACUCCCACCUCAGCUACACAAUGUUCCAGUGCUCGUCAUCAUGAGGUCACCGGUUUGAGUCCUGGCGGCUGCGGUCGCAUUUCGAUGGUGCGAGCUACAUAUUUGGAAGCAUGUUAAAGAACCCCAGUUGGCCAAAAUUAAAGCCGAGCCAUCUACUACGGCAUCUCUUGUAGUUCCAGUG